GACGAACGCUGGCGGCGUGCUUAACACAUGCAAGUCGAACGGAAAGGCCCUGCUUUUGUGGGGUGCUCGAGUGGCGAACGGGUGAGUAACACGUGAGUAACCUGCCCUUGACUUUGGGAUAACUUCAGGAAACUGGGGCUAAUACCGGAUAGGAGCUCCUGCUGCAUGGUGGGGGUUGGAAAGUUUCGGCGGUUGGGGAUGGACUCGCGGCUUAUCAGCUUGUUGGUGGGGUAGUGGCUUACCAAGGCUUUGACGGGUAGCCGGCCUGAGAGGGGGACCGGCCACAUUGCGCCUGAGAUACGGCCCAGCCUCCAACGGGAGGCAGCAGUGGGGAAUAUUGCACAAUGGGCGGAAGCCUGAUCCAGCAACGCCGCGUGCGGGAUGACGGCCUUCGGGUUGUAAACCGCUGUCGCCUGUGACGAAGCGUGAGUGACGGUAAUGGGUAAAGAAGCACCGGCUAACUACGUG
rnacentral:rRNA from 1 species